AGCCUAUGGGCGCAUGCCCAGAAACUGAAGGCCCGAGUAUAUGUUAUUUUUCAAUCAGAACGGGGGUGUAUGGGCUAGAUGGGUGUGUACAUGAGAGUAAAAGGAUUCGGGCAUGGUUGAUAGAAUCCCAAGAAGGAAGUUCAGAAUGGGGGAAAGUGUGAAAGAAUUGUCAUUCAAGUUUAUGUUCAAACAGACCCAAACUCUCUUCUCUCUCUCACCUUGGCCCUCACCGGAAAUCGCUCUGUCGCACCGAAAAUCGCCUCCGGCAUCGAAGGAGCCCGGAGACACCUCAAAAUACCACUAUCAUACUUGCCUUCAUCUCCCUUACCCUCAUCUAACCUCCACUCAUCUUGAUUUCUAACCUAACCUAAGCCCUCGUUCGAACCUAAACAGAAAAAACCCUAAAACUUUCAAACACAAAUUAAAUGGCGUAUGUUCAAGAUUUCAGAGUAAAACAUUAGGGAUAUUACUCAUGCCAAUCUAUACUACAACAUGGUGACAAUAGUUUUCAAGGAAGUGAAGAAUUGGACGUGGCUUACCAACAAGGCAAAGGUUUUCCUGGUAAAAGUAAUAGAGAAUUAAAGCUAUGUGCUUAGGGCUAUUGUGGGUUGAAUGCAUUGCUUGGACAAAGAAUGAAGUUUGGUCAUGGCAUGUUAAAGGUUUAGUCAUGAUAUGUACAAGUUUGGUGGACAUGGGAGUUGGAAUAGAGAUGAUGAAGAAUUGGAGGCAAACUGGAAUAUUAUGAAGAUGAAGAAAAGUAGGUCUAGGAUUAAGUUUGACUUUUGUCAACUGUUUGACCAAAAAUCAAUAGUUGACCAAAACUAAAAUGUAGGUCAAACUUAGGAUUUUUCAUGGAAUCUUCAUUCCAUGAUUAAACCUCAUAAGACUUGGUCAACAAAAAAUCAACCUUACAUGGUUGACUUUGUUGACCAAAAGUCAACCUUGUGUUAAUGUCCUCAAUUCCUUUUCUUUUCCACAAUGCAUCAAGAACUCAUAUUCUAACUUGAAUAAGAUGAUCCCAAAUGAUUUAAGUCAGAA